rfam:Triticum aestivum genome assembly, contig: Triticum_aestivum_CS42_TGACv1_scaffold_374526_5AL
AACCUACUUCUUCCGUUCGGAAUUACUUAUCGCAAAAAUGGGUGUAUCUAGACGUAGUUUAGUUCUAGAUACAUCCAUAUCCGAAACAAGUAAUUCCGAACGGAGGGAGUAGUAU